GUGCCUUCGGGAACUGUGAGACAGGUGCUGCAUGGCUGUCGUCAGCUCGUGUUGUGAAAUGUUGGGUUAAGUCCCGCAACGAGCGCAACCCUUAUCCUUUGUUGCCAGCGGUUAGGCCGGGAACUCAAAGGAGACUGCCAGUGAUAAACUGGAGGAAGGUGGGGAUGACGUCAAGUCAUCAUGGCCCUUACGACCAGGGCUACACACGUGCUACAAUGGCGCAUACAAAGAGAAGCGACCUCGCGAGAGCAAGCGGACCUCAUAAAGUGCGUCGUAGUCCGGAUUGGAGUCUGCAACUCGACUCCAUGAAGUCGGAAUCGCUAGUAAUCGUGGAUCAGAAUGCCACGGUGAAUACGUUCCCGGGCCUUGUACACACCGCCCGUCACACCAUGGGAGUGGGGUGCAAAAGAAGUAGGUAGCUUAACCUUCGGGAGGGCGCUUACCACUUUGUGAUUCAUGACUGGGGUGAAGUCGUAACAAGGUAACCGUAGGGGAACCUGCGGUUGGAUCACCUCCUUA
rnacentral:rRNA from 1 species